CGCUGCUGUGCGGCGCUGGGAUGGCAGCUCUGCGAUGGCAGCACCGUGUGUCCCGCCGGGCCCCUUCCAACGGCGACAGCGACGGGGGUUCCUCGGGAAGGAGGGUGGCAGAGCAGCUCUGCUGCUUUCAGUGCGAUGAAAACGCUCCAGUCGUUCUCAGGUCAUGGUAAGAAUCACAAAGACGCUGCCUCGGUCAGGGCCACGCAUCCCAUCCCUGCAGCUUGUGGCAUUUAUUACUUCGAAGUGAAGAUUGUCAGUAAAGGGAGAGAUGGGUAUAUGGGAAUAGGACUUUCUGCUCAAGGCGUCAACAUGAACAGGCUUCCUGGUAAGUCACUAUAAAAAUGGU